rnacentral:rRNA from 1 species
AUUGAACGCUGGCGGCAGGCCUAACACAUGCAAGUCGAGCGAGCGGCGGACGGGUGAGUGAUGUAUGGGGAUCUGCCUGACGGAGGGGGAUAACUACUGGAAACGGUAGCUAAUACUGCAUAACAUCAGAUUAAACCACAGGGGAUUAGCUGGUAGGUACGGUAAAGGCUUACCUAGGCGACGAUCCCUAGAUGGUCUGAGAGGCUGAUCAGCCACACUGGGACGUAGACACGGCCCAGACUCCUACGGGAGGCAGGAGUGGGGAAUAUUGCACAAGGGGCGCAAGCCUGAUGCAGCCAUGCCGCGUGUAUGAAGAAGGCCUUCGGGUUGUAAAGUACUUUCAGUCGGGAGGCGUUACCGACAGAAGAAGCACCGGCUAACUCCGUGCCAGCAGCCGCGGUAAUAC